GACGAACGCUGGCGGCGUGCUUAACACAUGCAAGUCGAACGGUAAGGCCCUUCGGGGUACACGAGUGGCGAACGGGUGAGUAACACGUGGGUGAUCUGCCCUGCAUUUCGGGAUAAGCCUGGGAAACUGGGUCUAAUACCGGAUAGGACUCCUGGCUUCAUGGUUGGGGGUGGAAAGCUUUUGCGGUGUGGGAUGGGCCCGCGGCCUAUCAGCUUGUUGGUGGGGUAAUGGCCUACCAAGGCGACGACGGGUAGCCGGCCUGAGAGGGUGACCGGUCACACUGGGACUGAGAUACGGCCCAGACUACUACGGGAGGCAGCAGUGGGGAAUAUUGCACAAUGGGCGCAAGCCUGAUGCAGCGACGCCGCGUGAGGGAUGACGGCCCUCGGGUUGUAAACCUCUUUCAGCUAUGACGAAGCGCAAGUGACGGUAGUAGCAGAAGAAGGACCGGCCAACUACGUGCCAGCCGCCGCAGUAA
rnacentral:rRNA from 1 species